rnacentral:rRNA from 1 species
ACGCUCGACACCUACGUGAGGCAGCAGUGGGGAAUAUUGCACAAUGGGGGAAACCCUGAUGCAGCGACGCCGCGUGAGCGAAGAAGUAUUUCGGUAUGUAAAGCUCUAUCAGCAGGGAAGAAACUGACGGUACCUGACUAAGAAGCACCGGCUAAAUACGUGCCAGCAGCCGACGGUAAUCUGAGGCCGGGCGUGGACGAAGGC